GACGAACGCUGGCGGCGUGCCUAAUACAUGCAAGUAGAACGAGUUGCGAACGGGUGAGUAACGCGUGGUAACCUGCCUCAUAGCGGGGGAUAACUAUUGGAAACGAUAGCUAAUACCGCAUACUGUGAGAUGGACCUUCGUUGUAUUAGCUAGUAGGUGGGGUAAUGGCUCACCUAGGCGACGAUCCCUAGCUGGUCUGAGAGGAUGACAAGCAAGACUGGAACUGAGACACGGUCCAGACUCCUACGGGAGGCAGCAGUGGGGAAUAUUGCACAAGGGGCGCAAGCCUGAUGCAGCCAUGCCGCGUGUAUGAAGAAGGCCUUCGGGUUGUAAAGUACUUUCAGCGAGGAGGCGUUACUCGCAGAAGAAGCACCGGCUAACUCCGUGCCAGCAGCCGCGGUAAUUC
rnacentral:rRNA from 1 species